rnacentral:rRNA from 1 species
AACGAACGCUGGCGGCAUGCCUAACACAUGCAAGUCGAACGAGACCUUCGGUUCUAGUGGCGCACGGGUGCGUAACGCGUGGGAACCUGCCCUUAGGUUCGGAAUAACUCCCCGAAAGGGGUGCUAAUACCGGAUAAUGUCUUCGGACCAAAGAUUUAUCGCCUUUGGAUGGGCCCGCGUUGGAUUAGCUAGUUGGUAGGGUAAAAGCCUACCAAGGCGACGAUCCAUAGCUGGUCUGAGAGGAUGAUCAGCCACACUGGGACUGAGACACGGCCCAGACUCCUACGGGAGGCAGCAGUGGGGAAUAUUGGACAAUGGGCGAAAGCCUGAUCCAGCUAUGCCGCGUGAGUGAUGAAGGCCUUAGGGUUGUAAAGCUCUUUUACCCGGGAUGAUAAUGACAGUACCGGGAGAAUAAGCUCCGGCUAACUCCGUG